GCGCAUUAGCCUCAUCCUCAGGCUCUCUCGCGCUAGUCUUGUCCGAUGCUCAUCUUUUGGAGGAAAAUCAGUCAAUGUCUGGUGGAGGUUCUGAUGCUGUUGAAGUGAAGAAUUUGAAGAAACAUCACAACCAGUAGAAGAUAUUCGUAAAACACAAUCCUACAUUACUAUUCACACACUUCUUGUUUUGCUGCGCAUGCUCACUUUUUUGUACAUUGCUGGAAUGUUACUUUCAUCAUACAAUGGAGACCAUACACAGGUAACACUCAAGAAGACAGAGCCAUACUAAUAUAGCUGGAGAAACAAGAUCACUCACAGACAGUAAUCGUCGUUGUGCCAUGGGGUGAAGAACUAACAGUUUCUAUGUUUGGGCAAGAAGAGACCAAAACACAGCAAACUGAGGUCAACAGAAUGAAAGCAUCAGAAUACAAAAAUACAAAGAACUUUGAACAAAGUGAAGUAAAUAGUUGAAGGUUAAAAUGUCAUUGUGCAAACAAGCAAUGACACAACAGUUCAGUUACCAGUUUACGACUAUUAUGUUGCUAGCCAUAGAUGGCAGUCCGGUAGUUGUUGGCAACAUUCGAUACCAUGUGUGCAAAUAACGAUAACUAUUACUCAAUUAAUUGUUACAUAUAUGACAUUCAAG